AUUGAACGCUGGCGGAAUGCUUUACACAUGCAAGUCGAGCGGCAGCGCGGCCUUCGGGCUGGCGGCGAGCGGCGAACGGGUGAGUAAUGCAUCGGAACAUGCCCAGUCGUGGGGGAUAACACUUCGAAAGAAGUGCUAAUACCGCAUACGUCCUGAGGGGGAAAGCGGGGGAUCGCAAGACCUCGCGCGAUUGGAGUGGCCGAUGUCAGAUUAGCUAGUUGGUGGGGUAAAGGCCUACCAAGGCGACGAUCUGUAGCUGGUCUGAGAGGAUGAUCAGCCACACUGGGACUGAGACACGGCCCAGACUCCUACGGGAGGCAGCAGUGGGGAAUUUUGGACCAUGGGGGCAACCCUGAUCCAGCCAUUCCGCGUGAGUGAAGAAGGCCUUCGGGUUGUAAAGCUCUUUCGGCAGGAACGAAACGGUGGGCUCUAACAUAGUCCGCUAAUGACGGUACCUGAAGAAGAAGCACCGGCUAACUACGUG
rnacentral:rRNA from 1 species